GGAGAGAUGGCCGAGUGGUCGAAGGCGCACGCCUGGAAAGUGUGUAUACGGCAACGUAUCGAGGGUUCGAACCCCUCUCCCUCCG
rnacentral:tRNA from 1 species